rnacentral:rRNA from 1 species
GCCACUUUUAUCGGACGUCGCGACCCGUUUGGCGCUGGAGUUGUCAUUCGGCCUCGGUUGAAUGGCGCAAGAAACGAAGUGAAGUUCUCGUUCCGCGGUGGUGCGUCGUUUCGGCGGUGUUAUCGCUCGGUAAUGAGAGCCUUUGUUUUCGAACCAGCUUGCUCGACGGUAAAAAAGUGGUGGCCGAACGUUGAAAUACACGGUCGGUACCGGUCUGCGACGAUUCUUCGGGCCUCUUUCCGACCCGUCUUGAAACACGGACCAAGGAGUCUAACGUGUGCGCGAGUCACGGGGUUUCGCCGACCAAUCCUCGUGGUUGAUCGGCGUUAUAUUAACGAAACCCGACUAAAGGCGUAAUGAAAGUGAAACUGCCGCGUUCUCGGACGCGGCAUAAGGAGGAUAAUGUCUCGAGUACACCUUCUCGAUUUUCGUCGAGACCGAGCAUUCGCACUCCUGGGGCGUCCCGUAAGCUCGACAUCGCGUCGUUUCUACGGCAGGUGUCGAUCUGGGGCGCACUCUUAGCGUACACGUUGGUACCCGAAAGAUGGUGAACUAUGCCUGGCUAGGAUGAAGUCAGGGGAAACCCUGAUGGAGGUCCGCAGGGAUUCUGACGUGCAAAUCGAUCCUCAAAGCUGGGCUUAGGGGCGAAAGACUAAU